GGCCAGCAGCCGCGGUAAUACAGAGACUGCAAGCGUUAUUCGGAUUCACUGGGCGUAAAGGGUGCGCAGGCGGUCGCGUGUGUCAGGUGUGAAAGCCCGGAGCUUAACUCCGGAAUUGCGCCUGAAACUACGUGACUAGAGCAUUGGAGAGGGUAGCGGAAUUCACGGUGUAGCAGUGAAAUGCGUAGAUAUCGUGAGGAACACCAGAGGCGAAGGCGGCUACCUGGACAAUUGCUGACGCUCAGGCACGAAAGCGUGGGGAGCAAAAGGGAUUAGAUACCCCUGUAGUCCACGCCCUAAACGGUGCACACUAGGUCUUGGCGGAUUCGACCCCACCAGGGCCCAAGCUAACGCGUUAAGUGUGCCGCCUGAGGACUACGGCCGCAAGGCUAAAACUCAAAGGAAUUGACGGGGGCCCGCACAAGG
rnacentral:rRNA from 1 species